rnacentral:rRNA from 1 species
AUUGAACGCUGGCGGCAUGCCUAACACAUGCAAGUCGAACGAGUGGCGGACGGGUGAGUAAUGUCUGGGAAACUGCCUGAUGGAGGGGGAUAACUACUGGAAACGUUAGCUAAUACCGCAUACCAUCGGAUGUGCCCAGAUGGGGUUAGCUAGUAGGUGAGGUAAAGGCUCACCUAGGCGACGAUCCCUAGCUGGUCUGAGAGGAUGACGCGCCACAUUUGGACUGCGACUCGGUCCAUGCUCGUACGGGAGGCAGCAGUGGGGAAUAUUGGACAAUGGGUGCAAGCCUGAUGCAGCCAUGCCGCGUGUAUGAAGAGGGCGUUCGGGUUGUAAAGUACUUGCAGCGGGGAGGCGUUACCCGCAGAAGAAGCACCGGCUAACUCCGUGCCAGCAGCCGCGGUAAUAC